rnacentral:rRNA from 1 species
GAACGAGGCCCUUUGUAUUCGUACGAAUGUGUCCUAGUGGCGAACGGGUGAGUAACACGUAGGUGACCUGCCCCGAAGCGGGGGACAACUCCGGGAAACUGGAGCUAAUACCCCCAUGUUCUCCAUGAUGUUAGAGGACCCAUGGAGCAAAGGAGCAAUCCACUUUGGGAGGGGCCUGCGGCCCAUCAGCUAGUUGGUAGGGUAAUGGCCUACCAAGGCUAUGACGGGUAGGGGACCUGAGAGGGUGGUCCCCCACACUGGAACUGAAACACGGACCAGACACCUACGGGUGGCAGCAGUAGGGAAUAUUGCACAAUGGGCGAAAGCCUGAUGCAGCAACGCCGCGUGCGCGAUGAAGGCCUUCGGGUUGUAAAGCGCUUUUCUGGGGGAAGAGGAAGGACGGUACCCCAGGAAUAAGUCUCGGCUAACUACGUGCCAGCAGCCGCGGUAAAACGUAGGAGGCGAGCGUUAUCCGGAUUUACUGGGCGUAAAGCGCGUGUAGGCGGUUAGGUAAGUCGGACGUGAAAGCUCCCGGCUCAACUGGGAGAGGCCGUUCGAAACUACCUGACUUGAGGGCAGUAGAGGGAGGUGGAAUUCAGGGUGUAGCGGUGAAAUGCGUAGAUAUCCUGAGGAACACCAGUGGCGAAGGCGGCCUCCUGGGCUGACCCUGACGCUCAGACGCGAAAGCUAGGGUAGCAAACGGGAUUAGACACCCCGGUAGUCCUAGCUGUAAACGAUGCAGACUUUGUGUUGGC